UAGGGAAUCUUCCGCAAUGGGCGAAAGCCUGACGGAGCAACGCCGCGUGAGUGAUGAAGGUCUUCGGAUCGUAAAACUCUGUUAUUAGGGAAGAACAAAUGUGUAAGUAACUAUGCACAUCUUGACGGUACCUAAUCAGAAAGCCACGGCUAACUACGUGCCAGCAGCCGCGGUAAUACGUAGGUGGCAAGCGUUAUCCGGAAUUAUUGGGCGUAAAGCGCGCGUAGGCGGUUUUUUAAGUCUGAUGUGAAAGCCCACGGCUCAACCGUGGAGGGUCAUUGGAAACUGGAAAACUUGAGUGCAGAAGAGGAAAGUGGAAUUCCAUGUGUAACGGUGAAAUGCGCAGAGAUAUGGAGGAACACCAGUGGCGAAGGCGACUUUCUGGUCUGUAACUGACGCUGAGGCUCGAAAGCGUGGGGAGUGAACAGG
rnacentral:rRNA from 1 species